rnacentral:rRNA from 1 species
AGCUCCAAUAGCGUAUACCUAAGUUGUUGUGGUUAAAAAGCUCGUAGUUGGAUUUCGGCGGGGAUUGGUCGGUUUGCAUUGUUUCAAAACAUCCUUUUUUACCCGGGUGUUUUGCCAGAAAUUGAAGGGGGACCUUAACCGGUUGUGCGGUAGAGCUGGCUGGUUUUCUUUGAAAAAAUUAGAGUGCUCAAAAGCAAGCAUGACUGCUUGAAUAUUCGUGCAUGGAAUAAUAGAAUAGGCAGUCGUUUCCUAUUUUGUUGGUUUUCGGAAAUCGACUGAAUGAUUAAUAGGGAUAGUCGGGGGCAUUUGUAUUCAAACGACAGAGGUGAAAUUCUUGGACCGUUUGAAGACAAACUACUGCGAAAGCAUUUGCCAAGAAUGUUUUCA